UACGGAGGGCGCAAGCGUUAUCCGGAUUCACUGGGUUUAAAGGGUGCGUAGGUGGGCAGAUAAGUCAGUGGUGAGAUCUCUGGGCUUAACCCGGAAACUGCCAUUGAUACUAUUUGUCUUGAAUUCUCUGGAGGUAAGCGGAAUAUGUCAUGUAGCGGUGGAAUGCUUAGAUAUAACAUAGAACACCCAUUGCGAAGGCAGCUUACUACGGAGACAUCGACACUGAGGCACGAAAGCGUGGGGAUCAAACAGG
rnacentral:rRNA from 1 species